AUGAAGGGUUACGGGACAGGGCUGCUACUUCUAGCUAUCUGCUGGGCAGGUGUUGAUAGUCAGACUCUGACACAGUCUGAAUCAGCGGUGAAAAAACCAGGAGAAUCCCACAAACUGACCUGUACAACUUCUGGGCUUUCAUUCAGCAGCUAUUGGAUGGGCUGGAUCAGACAGUCUCCUGGAAAAGGACUGGAGUGGAUUGCUACUGAAGCUCAGGGCCGUCAGUACUACUCUCAGUCAGUCCAGGGCAGGUUUAUUGUCUCCAGAGACGAUGGCAGAGAGCAGCUGUUUCUGCAGAUGAACAGCCUGAAGACUGAAGAUUCUGCUGUUUAUUAUUGUGCUAGAGACCCACAGUGA